GUGGGGAAUCUUAGACAAUGGGCGCAAGCCUGAUCUAGCCAUGCCGCGUGAGUGAUGAAGGCCCUAGGGUUAUAAAGCUCUUUCAGCUGGGAAGAUAAUGACGGUACCAGCAGAAGAAGCCCCGGCUAACUCCGUGCCAGCAGCCGCGGUAAUACGGAGGGGGCUAGCGUUGUUCGGAAUUACUGGGCGUAAAGCGCGCGUAGGCGGACUGAAAAGUUGGGGGUGAAAUCCCGGGGCUCAACCUCGGAACUGCCUUCAAAACUAUCAGUCUGGAGUUCGAGAGAGGUGAGUGGAAUUCCGAGUGUAGAGGUGAAAUUCGUAGAUAUUCGGAGGAACACCAGUGGCGAAGGCGGCUCACUGGCUCGAUACUGACGCUGAGGUGCGAAAGCGUGGGGAGCAAACAGGAUUAGAAACCCGUGUAGUCC
rnacentral:rRNA from 1 species